CGCGCACAACGCCGCCCCACCUCAACGCACCGCCGUCUCCGCAACGCCGCUACCGCCGCCUCCGCCUCGCCGCCGCGUCGUACCGCCGACGCCCACGACCUUCCUCCGGCCGCAUCUCACCCGAGGCACGCCCGCCGUCCUCGCCCCGCCUAAGUACCGCCGCUCGCCUCCUUCCGUCGCCGCCUGCCGGCCGCCGCAUACCCCACCCUUCAUCUCUCUCACUGCCGGCCGUCUCUCCCAAAACCCCUCUCCCACUUCACACCAUCACCUUCUCUUCCCCGCCCCUUCCAUUUUCUGCCACGGGCCCAAUCUUGUCUUAGGCCUGAUCCCUCAACGGGCCCAAGCCCAAUCAGCCGGCCCGUCGUCCACCAAGUUAUUGAAGCUGCACUCAAGCCCGCUAAGUUUACUGGAUCCAAUCCUCACUUCGACAACUGGAGAGUCCAUCAGCUGCAACCGCGCAUCGAUCGUCGCCCCAGCCCAAGUCAGGCUUCUUCCUUUACUGCAAAUUUUAUUUGUUUGU
rnacentral:lncRNA from 1 species